UUCGGUUCACCGAGAAAUGGGAGUGGCGAACGGGUGAGUAACACGUGGGUAACCUACCCAUCAGCGGGGGAUAACACUUGGAAACAGGUGCUAAUACCGCAUAAUUCUUUUCUUCGCCUGGAGGAAAGAUGAAAGACGCUUUUGCGUCACUGAUGGAUGGACCCGCGCUGCAUUAGCUAGUUGGUGGGGUAACGGCUCACCAAGGCCACGAUGCAUAGCCGACCUGAGAGGGUGAUCGGCCACACUGGGACUGAGACACGGCCCAGACUCCUACGGGAGGCAGCAGUAGGGAAUCUUCGGCAAUGGACGGAAGUCUGACCGAGCAACGCCGCGUGAGUGAAGAAGGUUUUCGGAUCGUAAAACUCUGUUGUUAGAGAAGAACAAGGAUGAGAGUAGAAUGUUCAUCCCUUGACGGUAUCUAACCAGAAAGCCACGGCUAUCUACGUGCCAGCAGCCGCGGUAAUACGUAGGUGGCAAGCGUUGUCCGGAUUUAUUGGGCGUAAAGCGAGCGCAGGCGGUUUCUUAAGUCUGAUGUGAAAGCCCCCGGCUUAACCGGGGAGGGUCAUUGGAAACUGGGAGACUUGAGUGCAGAAGAGGAGAGUGGAAUUCCAUGUGUAGCGGUGAAAUGCGUAGAUAUAUGGAGGAACACCAGUGGCGAAGGCGACUCUCUGGUCUGCAACUGACGCUGAG
rnacentral:rRNA from 1 species